AGCGGGGCCCCGCGAGCGGGCGGGGCCCGUGGGGCGCUUGCGGGCCACCGGGGCAGCUCGCCCUUUGCCCGCCGCGGGGUGGCCCCUCCCAGGGGCCUGGGCCACGGUGCCGUGUCACCCUUCCCAGCUGGGCUUGGCCGCAGCGACCUCCUCCCCCAGGCCGGCGGCAGGACUACGCAGGGAUUCGGUGCCCACCCUGCUAUGGCUUGGCUCGGGGAUCAGGGCCCUAAAGGAUCAGGGUGCCUUCCAGGCAUGCAUUAAGCAACCUGACUAACAGCUGCCACCUGUUUGUUCCUGAGUAGUUUGUUCCUGAGCUUUGAAAUUCAAGUCCUCUGUUCCCCAGGGCCUGGUAAAUAUUAUUAUCUGCAUUGUACAGAAGCAGGAAACUUGCCAAACAAUCAGUGGGGCCACCCAACAAUCAAGGGGCUAAAGGAGCACUGAAGGAAGACAAGGCCAUUGUGGAGAAGCUAAAUGAAUUACUGCAUCAUCUUCAUUGUAGAGGAUGUGAGGGAGAUUCCCAUACCUGAGCCAUUGUUUUUAGAUGAUAAAUCUGAAAACUUUCCCAGAUUCAGGUGUCAAUAGAGGAAGUUUUGGCACAAACUGAUAAAUAAAACAGUAAUUGGUCAGCUGGAUCAGAUGGGAUUCACCCAAGGGUUCUGCAGUUUCAUAUCUGAAUUCCCUCAGAACUAUUAACCGUGGUACGUAACCUAUCAUCUAAAUCUGCUUCUGUACCAGAUGACUGGAGGAUAACUAACGUGAUGCUGAUUUUUAAAAAAGGCUCCAGAGGUAAUCCUGACAGUUGCAGGCCAGUAAGCCUAACUUCAGUACCAGGCAAACUGGUUGAAACUAUAGUAAAGAACAGAAUUAUCAGACACAUACAUGAACAGGAUGUGACGUUAUUGAUAAACUGUGACCGUAUAGAUCAUUGUUGCAACCAGGGUUCUAUGGUUGCACCAGGUCUUGUACAGAGAAGGCCAAGUGGGGUGUCUAUGGAAAGGUUGUGGUUUGCUGGUUGUGAUUAUGCUGUCUGUAUGUGUGUAUCAUUUUUGUAUUUGAAGUUAUGAAUAUUGGCAUUUUAUUUGUUUGAUUCUAAGUAGCCUCCGUGAAGCAUUUGGUCAGCUUCUUGAGAAAGGACUAUUCUCAGUAAGUGCCCAAUCAAGAAACACUUAACUGACAACGGACUUUGGGAGAUGCCAAUCUACACCUGAGCUUUCCUGGGAAUGUUCAAACUAACAUGUAAACAAUGGUGUCGGCCUGCAAAAAGCUGAAUCAUUCAUAGACAUGUGACUUGCCCAGGUGGCUACAGACUCCAUCUUGUUGCUGUGAUGUUGCACAGGAGAACAAAGAGGUUUCUGUCCACAAGAGAAAGAAUAUAAAAGGCCCUGGAAACCCCUCCAUUUUGUCUUCAGCUAGCUCAAAAAGACAGCCUCUCCACCCCAAAGAGAUGCCUGAAAGAAACUGGAACAAAGGACAGUAACUAUGGGGGUGUGAGUGAUUUCUGGACCCAGACUAGAAAGGAGUCUAGUCUGUGAAAGAAGCUUAUUGGAACAUCUCUGAGGGUGAGAUUUACCUGCAUUUAGUUUCCUACUGUAUUAGGCUUAGACUUGCAGGUUUGUUUUAUUUUGCUUGGUAAUUAACUUUGUUCUGUCUGUUAUUACUUGGAACCACUUAAAUCCUACUUUUUAUUUUUAAUAAAAUCACUUUUUUGCUUA